AUUGAACGCUGGCGGAAUGCUUUACACAUGCAAGUCGAACGGCAGCACGGACUUCGGUCUGGUGGCGAGUGGCGAACGGGUGAGUAAUGUAUCGGAACGUGCCCAGUCGUGGGGGAUAACGUAGUGAAAAUUACGCUAAUACCGCAUACGAUCUAUGGAUGAAAGCGGGGGAUCGCAAGACAUCGCGCGAUUUGAGCGGGCGAUAUCAGAUUAGGUAGUUGGUGGGGUAAAGGCCCCCCAAGCCAACGAUCUGUAGCUGGUCUGAGAGGACGACCAGCCACACUGGGACUGAGACACGGUCCAGACUCCUACGGGAGGCAGCAGUGGGGAAUUUUGGACAAUGGGCGAAAGCCUGAUCCAGCCAUUCCGCGUGCAGGAUGAAGGCCCUCGGGUUGUAAACUGCUUUUGUACAGAACGAAAAGGUUUCUACUAAUACUAGGAGCUCAUGACGGUACUGUAAGAAUAAGCACCGGCUAACUACGUGCCAGCCGCCGCCGUAA
rnacentral:rRNA from 1 species